rnacentral:rRNA from 1 species
UACAGAGGUCCCGAGCGUUGUUCGGAUUCACUGGGCGUAAAGGGUGCGUAGGUGGCAAGGUAAGUUUGAUGUGAAAGCUCAGGGCUUAACCCUGAAAUGGCAUUGAAUACUGUCGGGCUGGAGGUUUGGAGGGGGGACUGGAAUUCUUGGUGUAGCAGUGAAAUGCGUAGAUAUCAAGAGGAACACCAGUGGCGAAGGCGAGUCCCUGGACAACACCUGACACUGAGGCACGAAAGCUAGGGGAGCAAACAGG